rnacentral:rRNA from 2 species
GCAUAAUCACUUGUCCCUUAAAUCGGGACUGGAAUGAACGGCUAAAUGAGGACUAAACUGUCUCUUACAGGCCAGCCAAUGAAAUUGAUUUUCCAGUACAAAAGCUGGGAUACACCCACAAGACGAGAAGACCCUGUGGAGCUUACAAACCAAAUUCACCAAACAUGUCUAUCGGUUUUCAGUUGGGGCGACUUCGGAGUACAAAAUAACCUCCAAACAUAAAACUAAUUAAGAACAACACAUCAAAAUAUACUUAUAAUGACCCAGCAACCUUGUGGUUGUCUGACUAAUGAACCAAGUUACCCCAGGGAUAACAGCGCCAUCCCCUUCUAGAGUCCCUAUCGACAAGGGGGUUUACGACCUCGAUGUUGGAUCAGGACACCCCAAUGGUGCAGCCGCCAUUAACGGUUCGUUUGUUCAACGAUUAAAGUCCAACGUGAU